GACAGAGGUGCCAAGCGUUAGGCGGAAUCACUGGGCUUAAAGCGUGUGUAGGCGGAUCGUUAAGUACCUUGUGAAAUCCCACGGCUCAACCGUGGAACUGCUGGGUAUACUGGCGAUCUUGAGCCACCUAGGGGCAAUCGGAAUUCUUGGUGUAGCGGUGAAAUGCGUAGAUAUCAAGAGGAACACCUGAGGUGAAGACGGGUUGCUGGGCCGACACUGACGCUGAGUGCGCGAAAGCCAGGGGAGCAAACGGG
rnacentral:rRNA from 1 species